rnacentral:rRNA from 1 species
GACUACUAGGGUAUCUAAUCCUGUUUGCUCCCCACGCUUUCGCGCCUCAGCGUCAGUUACAGUCCAGUAAGUCGCCUUCGCCACUGGUGUUCCUCCUAAUAUCUACGCAUUUCACCGCUACACUAGGAAUUCCACUUACCUCUCCUGCACUCAAGCUCCCCAGUUUCAAAUGCACUCCCGAAGUUAAGCCUCGGGUUUUCACAUCUGACUUAAAGAGCCGCCUACGCGCCCUUUACGCCCAGUAAUUCCGGACAACGCUCGCCACCUACGUAUUACCGCGGCUGCUGGCACGUAGUUAGCCGUGGCUUCCUCCUCUGGUACCGUCAUUAUCGUCCCAGAAGACAGGAGUUUACAAUCCGAAAACCUUCUUCCUCCACGCGGCGUUGCUGCGUCAGGGUUUCCCCCAUUGCGCAAUAUUCCCCACUGCUGCCCCCCGUAGG